AGUUCUUUUACUUACAUCGGUGCACAGCUAAAAAUCUCAAAUGCGGUGUUGGAUAGACGUGACGGUAGAUGGUACUUUGUCAUGUUCCUGAUCUUAGGAGGGAGUGACAUCAGCAAGAUGGCAGAAUAGGAGGUCCCACUGGAUGCCUGCUCAGCAACAAUCAUUUGGCAGCCAAAUGGACAAAAGUGCCUUUGUGGGAGCUUUGGGAUCCAGGUGAAAGAAUCUUCCAGAGCUGCUGAAGACAGGUAAAAAUUCUGCCUCUGAACCUGCUAGCGACCCAGUAAGAAAGAAAGCAUACUCGUUGGCAAAGAGAAUAGUGGUACCAGAACUUUCUUCAGUCAGGCAGCCACGCCAGGAUCUGUUCCUUUUGGUUCCACUGACUUCGAAUUGGGCCAGGGCCUCACUGCAACUGCAGCUAGUUUAUGUCUGAUUUCAAAUAUGAUUUAGGGGAUUUAACUUUGUCCUUCAGCUCAAUCCCCAACUUUCUUUACUACUAUUGCUACAACUGAGGGACAAAUAAAUCCCUU